AAAAUCAUAUUAUGUCUUUUGAUAAUAAAACGAAAGAAAAGCGGAGGAUGUGAGCUCGAUUAAAUUCGACAUAAGAUCAAACUUAAUAAAAAACAAAAUAUUGGAAAAAUGUAAACAAAAUUAACAUGAAGCUUGAAAGCUACACCAAUGCGCAAUUGAGAAUUUUCAUGAAAAUUAAAUCCAGUUCUAUUUACUAAAGUAAAAAAAAGAAGGAAAUGUAGCCUGAUGUUUGGAAAAGUUUUUUCCGGAACUUGUAAAUACUCCUCAUUUAGAUGCUUGCUCAUAUUAGAGAUGUGAAAUUUUUCAAUCACGGUAUAUAUUUUUCGUUCAACUUGAAUGUGCUCCCAAAAACUGGUGAAAGUAUAAAGUUUUCAAUCAGAGAUGUCUUUCAAUGGAUCAAGUCAGUAAAGCCAAAAUAAUGAACGAUUUAAGUGAUGAAAGCAAUGUUCUAUUGAAGUAUAAAUAAUAUUCAGCUGAGUUCAGUAAUUAUUUACUCUUGAACUGAAUCAGAUUCAGAAACUAUACUAGUGCAAUAUGGAACUCAAGAAAAUUUCUACUACAAAAGACUGGUCUUACGGGAUAAAUGUCAUUUAAUGGAUCAAUUCUAGAAGUAAAGUACAAAUAAUAAAAGAUUUGAGUUUAGUUGAAUUCAGUAACUAUUUACUCUUAAACUGAGUCUGAUUCAACAAUUGGAUUAUUGCAAUAUGAAACUCAAGAAAAUUUCUGCUACAAGAUAUUAAGAGGAAGUUUUUCAAUAAGGAGCCAUUUUCCUGAGUAAAUUUUCAAGGAGGGCAAUCACAUUGAUCACAAAUUAAUUGUGAAAAUUAAUUUGAGAGAAAAUCAAAUCAUUGAGAGAAAUAUUUCGGAAUUAAAUAAAAAGUACCAGAAAUAGAUUUGGGUGUCAACAACCCCAAUCUAAAUUUUGCGAUAUAUUGUAAACAACUCAACUAGAGAUAAACAAAAAUAGAAAUUUUCGGCAAAUCCGAGGUGUACCAAACAAUUUUGAGUACUGAGAGCUAUGCAACAACCAAUUUUCAUCGAAAAUUUUUUUAUAAACAACAUAGAAUAUGUUAGGUUUGCUUAAGGAAUUCUAAGGAAUGUUUAUUCACAAUUUUAAUGACCUAGUAAACACUUAUUUCCUGGUACAUUGGAGCUAAAGUGAACAUUAAUUUUCAAUCCAAUUGCAGUACGUCAAAUAUUUUCAAUCAAAUCCAAUUGGAAAGCCUCUGAAUAUUUGAUUUUGAAGUUAUACGAAUAUGAAGAACACGAGUUCAUGUUAACUACAAAAGUAACGAUUUUCAUCAUAAGAAAUUUGCUAGAUUAUGAUUACUUCUAUCUUACUUGUAUCAUUCAUGAAAUAAUUUCUUGGAUCACAUUUUGAAUGUACAUACCAGAAGCGGCUAAUAUUAUUUGCGAG